rnacentral:lncRNA from 1 species
UGGGAGAGUGCAAACUCCUGCGACAGGAUCAGGAUCACAUGCUUGAUUUGAGAUGUGUUGUUCUGAGCCACAAACUCUCGUACCAGCUUCUCGAUCUCGAGGGCCGCCACUUUCCUCUUCUCGUACAGCUUGUCGUUCAGCGCCCGCACCACGCUGGGCGCCAGCGGCGCCAGGUCCCGCUCCGCGUUCAUGGCACCGCCGGCACCGCCACCACCAUCACUGCCG